CGUCUUGUUGAAACCCGCCGCUCUCAUUUCUGUGGUCAACCUUGUUCCACUCUGUAUUUAGUAUUCGUGAGAAAGGCCUGUACAGAGAAAAAUAUUCCUUGAAUUUAAUGCGAGUUCCACGCUCCACCUGUUUGGCGCGCACAUUUCUCCAAGGUGCUCGAACCAGAGACUGGCCGGCGGCGCUUGAGCCUCUCAGAAUGUCUCUGGAACGUGCUUAGAGAGGCCCAUUUGCAGGUGGCAUCGGCGCAGCGUCACCUUAACUUGAAGUCGAAGAACGGCGAGCUCGGUUUGGUUC
rnacentral:lncRNA from 1 species